rnacentral:rRNA from 1 species
AUUGAACGCUGGCGGCAGGCUUAACACAUGCAAGUCGAACGGUAACAUAAAGAAGCUUGCUUCUUUGAUGACGAGUGGCGGACGGGUGAGUAAUGCUUGGGAAUCUAGCUUAUGGAGGGGGAUAACUACGGGAAACUGUAGCUAAUACCGCGUAGAAUCGAGAGAUGAAAGUGUGGGACCUUCGGGCCACAUGCCAUAGGAUGAGCCCAAGUGGGAUUAGGUAGUUGGUGAGGUAAAGGCUCACCAAGCCGACGAUCUCUAGCUGGUCUGAGAGGAUGACCAGCCACACUGGGACUGAGACACGGCCCAGACUCCUACGGGAGGCAGCAGUGGGGAAUAUUGCGCAAUGGGGGCAACCCUGACGCAGCCAUGCCGCGUGAAUGAAGAAGGCCUUCGGGUUGUAAAGUUCUUUCGGUAGCGAGGAAGGCAUUUAGUUUAAUAGACUAGGUGAUUGACGUUAACUACAGAAGAAGCACCGGCUAACUCCGUGCCAGCAGCCGCGGUAAUACGGAGGGUGCGAGCGUUAAUCGGAAUAACUGGGCAUAAAGGGCACGCAGGCGGUGACUUAAGUGAGGUGUGAAAGCCCCGGGCUUAACCUGGGAAUUGCAUUUCAUACUGGGUCGCUAGAGUACUUUAGGGAGGGGUAGAAUUCCACGUGUAGCGGUGAAAUGCGUAGAGAUGUGGAGGAAUACCGAAGGCGAAGGCAGCCCCUUGGGAAUGUACUGACGCUCAUGUGCGAAAGCGUGGGGAGCAAACAGG